rnacentral:lncRNA from 1 species
GCAGAGGUUGUGGUGGUUCCACUCAAGUGGGCAGCCGAGCUCCACCACAGCAACUCUCUCACUCCCCCUCCUCAAAGAGGAAUGGGGAGAAAAUAUGAUGAAAAGGGCUCAAAGGUUGAGAUAAGGACGAGAAAAUCACACAGUAAUUAUUGUAACGGGCAAAACAGACUUGGCAUAGGGAGACAGUAAUAUUUAUUGCUUAUUACUAACAAGCUAGAGAAGUGAGAAACGAAGGAAAGAAACCAAAAGCACCUCCCCCCCCAUCCACCCUCUUCCACCUCCUCCCCCCGAGCGGUGCAGGGGAACGGGGGAAUGGGGGUUAUGGUCAGUCUACAGCACUUCUCUGCCGCUCCUUCUCGGUCACUCUCGUCCCCUGUGCUGUGGGGUCCCACCCACGGGAUGCAGUCCUUGAUGAACUGAUCCAGCGUGGGCUUCCCACAGGCAGCAGCUCUUCCAGAACUGCUCCAGAUAUGGGUCCGUACCAUGGGGUCCAUCCCUCAGGAGAAAACUGCUCCAACCUGGCUCCCCCACGGGCAGCAGCUCCUGCCAGGUCACCUGCUCCUGCAUGGGCUCCUCUCCACAGGCUACAGGUCUGGCCCGGAAUCUGCUCCGGCAGGGGUCUUCCACAGGCGGCAGCCUUCGUCGGUGCAGGGCCACCUGCUCCACCGUGGUCUCCUCCACGGGCUGCAGCGUGGAACCCUGCUCCACCGUGGUACUCCAUGGGCUGCAGGGGGACAUCCUGCUUCACCAUGGUCCUCACCACAGGCUGCAGGGGACUUCUGCUCCGGCGCCUGGAGCACCUCUCCCCCUCCUUCUUCACUGACCUUGGCACCUGCAAGGCCGUUCCUCACUCCUCUCACUCUCCCAGCUGCUGUGUGUGGCACAGCAUUUUUUUUCCCUGUCUUUCUUUCCCUGUCUUUUCCCUGCUCUCACAGAGGCGCAAAACAACAUCGCGUAUUGGUUCAACUCUGGUCAGCAGUGGGGCCCUUACCAAAUAUGGGGCAGCUUCUAGAUCCUUCUCACAGAAACCACCCCUAUGUUACCAAAACCACCCCCUGUUACCAAAACCUUGCCAUGUAAACCCACUACAGAGGUGCAGUUCUCUUCAGCGCACACUGCCAAGGGAUGGCACCUGUAGUCGAGGUCGGCUGCCUCGGAGCUGGCACAGCCGCAGCUGCAGCACCCGACCAUGCGUUUGGGGGGAUCUCAGGCCCUUGCUUCUCCAGGAGUGGUCUGGGACAGCAGCACAACCAGGCAGCACCUGCUGGCUCUCGCAAGAGAAGCUGACGGAGAGUGGGCAUUGCCAGGGCAACAGUGACUGCACCCAGGCCCUCUGCCUAGAAAAAACCUCCAGGAGGGUGAUGACGCAUUGCUGCCCACCAGGCACCGGGAAGGGUGACCAGCACAUGAGAACCACCCUCAGCAUGCUGCAGUGGUGGGUGUGGGAGCUCGUGCAGCAGGGCACAGGGAGUCUGUCCCUCCUCCCUUUUGAGUCCAUCCUAUCUACUGGCGGUCUCUAUGACCACAAUUUUUGCAAUGGUCUCCACCUGGCAGAGAGCUUGACCCAAAAAGACCGUGGCAACACAAACAGAGGGCCUGCCCAGAACCAUGGCUGUACAGGACUCUGGUUGCAGG